AUUGAACGCUGGCGGCAGGCCUAACACAUGCAAGUCGAGCGGUAGCACAGAGAGCUUGCUCUCGGGUGACGAGCGGCGGACGGGUGAGUAAUGUCUGGGAAACUGCCUGAUGGAGGGCGAUAACUACUGGAAACGGUAGCUAAUACCGCAUAACGUCGCAAGACCAAAGUGGGGGACCUUCGGGCCUCAUGCCAUCAGAUGUGCCCAGAUGGGAUUAGCUGGUAGGUGGGGUAACGGCUCACCUAGGCGACGAUCCCUAGCUGGUCUGAGAGGAUGACCAGCCACACUGGAACUGAGACACGGUCCAGACUCCUACGGGAGGCAGCAGUGGGGAAUAUUGCACAAUGGGCGCAAGCCUGAUGCAGCCAUGCCGCGUGUGUGAAGAAGGCCUUCGGGUUGUAAAGCACUUUCAGCGGGGAGGAAGGCGAUGAGGUUAAUAACCUCAUCGAUUGACGUUACCCGCAGAAGAAGCACCGGCUAACUCCGUGCCAGCCGCCGCCGUAACAC
rnacentral:rRNA from 1 species